rnacentral:lncRNA from 1 species
UACCAUGAUGUCUUCGGCACUUUUUGAACGGUUGAGCUAGAGAAUAGUUCACAGACCCCAAUUUCUCUGCAGUCGUCAUGGUGGCAUUUAUAGCCCUCUGAAUUCCAUCCAUCCAUCCAUCUUGCGGGGUUUUCUGACAGAUAAAUUAAUCCGAAGGUGAUCAUCUCCACCGUUAAAGCUUAACUCUCAGCCAUGUCCCACAAUCGAUGACACAUUAUUCCGAGCUGUGACAAUUGCACAGCUACAUUGCGUACGGCAACGUGAUCAUCUAACCCUAAGCACUUUCCUAAUCUAGUAAUAAACCCGUACCGACGACUUCUGCUGCCCCAUUUAACCUUGUCUUGUACCCCAUAUCCUCGGCCUUCUCCACAUUUUAGACACGUUUAGCUGCAUUUCAUGGUUGCAAAUCCCAUGCAAUACACUCCUAUGGUUGGAAUUGUUUCUUCAGGCUUGUGUUAAGAGCCGACUUGGCUCUGUUAUAGCGUUGAAGUUUCGGGGAAUAUCCGGUCUAACUACCCCGCAAUUUGGUCAAGUGCUUUGCCAGCAUCGAUUGCAAAUGUGUCUGUGUCUUUGGAUCGGAUGAGAUUCACGGCAAGUAGAUAUUGAAAGUGAGUCAAUCCUUGAAUGAAAACAGGGCCACCAACGUGAUUAUAAUAAAUACGUUCCUUAGUAAUUACGAUGCACUCUUCGGACUGUUGAUUAAUGUCACUUUUACUCUAUUUUUUGUCUUUAGUACAGAAAGUCUAGGUCCAACAACAACCCUCAAUUUGUUGGCUUCUUGCCGGCUUCUGUACUCAGUUUGUCUUGAAUGAAUUGAACGAAGG